UAAGGCUGAGACACGACGUCGAGCACCUACGGGUGUGAAGUCAUUGAUGCCAUGCUUCCAGGAAAAGCCUCUAAGCUUCAGAUUGUAAGGAAUCGUACCCCAAACCGACACAGGUGGUCGGGUAGAGAAUACCAAGGCGCUUGAGAGAACUCGGGUGAAGGAACUAGGCAAAAUGGUACCGUAACUUCGGGAGAAGGUACGCUCUUGAUGGUGAAGUCCCUCGCGGAUGGAGCUGACGAGAGUCGCAGAUACCAGGUGGCUGCAACUGUUUAUUAAAAACACAGCACUGUGCAAAAUCGUAAGAUGACGUAUACGGUGUGACGCCUGCCCGGUGCCGGAAGGUUAAUUGAUGGGGUUAGACUUCGGUCGAAGCUCUUGAUCGAAGCCCCGGUAAACGGCGGCCGUAACUAUAACGGUCCUAAGGUAGCGAAAUUCCUUGUCGGGUAAGUUCCGACCUGCACGAAUGGCGUAAUGAUGGCCACGCUGUCUCCACCCGAGACUCAGUGAAAUUGAAAUCGCUGUGAAGAUGCAGUGUACCCGCGGCUAGACGGAAAGACCCCGUGAACCUUUACUACAGCUUGGCACUGAACAUUGACCCUACAUGUGUAGGAUAGGUGGGAGGCUUUGAAGCACGUACGCCAGUAUGUGUGGAGCCGUCCUUGAAAUACCACCCUUGUAGUGUUGAUGUUCUAACGUCGACCCCUAAUCGGGGUUGCGGACAGUGCCUGGUGGGUAGUUUGACUGGGGCGGUCUCCUCCCAAAGAGUAACGGAGGAGCACGAAGGUGGGCUAAUCACGGUUGGACAUCGUGAGGUUAGUGCAAUGGCAUAAGCCCGCUUGACUGCGAGAAUGACAAUUCGAGCAGGUGCGAAAGCAGGUCAUAGUGAUCCGGUGGUUCUGAAUGGAAGGGCCAUCGCUCAACGGAUAAAAGGUACUCCGGGGAUAACAGGCUGAUACCGCCCAAGAGUUCAUAUCGACGGCGGUGUUUGGCACCUCGAUGUCGGCUCAUCACAUCCUGGGGCUGAAGUCGGUCCCAAGGGUAUGGCUGUUCGCCAUUUAAAGUGGUACGCGAGCUGGGUUUAGAACGUCGUGAGACAGUUCGGUCCCUAUCUGCCGUGGGCGUUGGAAGAUUGAAGGGGGCUGCUCCUAGUACGAGAGGACCGGAGUGGACGAACCUCUGGUGUUCGGGUUGUGUCGCCAGACGCAUUGCCCGGUAGCUAAGUUCGGAAUCGAUAACCGCUGAAAGCAUCUAAGCGGGAAGCGAGCCCUGAGAUGAGUCUUCCCUGAUACUUUAAGUAUCCUAAAGGGUUGUCGGAGACUACGACGUUGAUAGGUCAGGUGUGUAAGUGCUGUGAGGCAUUGAGCUAACUGAUACUAAUUGCCCGUGAGGCUUAACCAU
rnacentral:rRNA from 1 species